AUUGAACGCUGGCGGCAUGCCUUACACAUGCAAGUCGAACGGUAACGGGCCUUCGGGUGCCGACGAGUGGCGAACGGGUGAGUAAUGCAUCGGAACGUACCUUUCAGUGGGGGUAACGUAGCGAAAGUUACGCUAAUACCGCAUAUUCUGUGAGCAGGAAAGCAGGGGAUCGCAAGACCUUGCGCUGAUUGAGCGGCCGAUGUCAGAUUAGCUAGUUGGUGAGGUAAAGGCUCACCAAGGCGACGAUCUGUAGCGGGUCUGAGGGGAUGAUCCGCCACACUGGAACUGAGACACGGUCCAGACUCCUACGGGAGGCAGCAGUGGGGAAUUUUGGACAAUGGGCGCAAGCCUGAUCCAGCCAUGCGCCGUGAGUGAAGAAGG
rnacentral:rRNA from 1 species